ensembl:lncRNA
CAUAUGAGGAUCAUGAAGUGAACAGCGAGAUUUGAAAUCCCACCACUCUACUGGGGCCCUUCUGUACACAUGUAUGGCCCUGCACAUUUCAAGGGGGGUAUGUACAUUUUGACAGAUGGUGAGGCUGGUGUUUAUGAUUGGAGGAGAUGGUGAGGCUGGUGUUUAUGAUUGGAGGAGAUGGUGAGGCUGGUGUUUAUGAUUGGAGGAGAUGGUGUGGCUGGUGUUUAUGAUUGGAGGAGAUGGUGUGGCUGGUGUUUAUGAUUGGAGGAGAUGGGGAGGCUGGUGAUUGGAGGAGAUAGGGAGGCUGGUGAUUGGAGGAGAUAGGGAGGCUGGUGAUUGGAGGAGAUGGUGUGGCUGGUGUUUAUGAUUGGAGGAGAUGGUGAGGCUGGUGAUUGUAGGAGAUAGUGAGGCUGGUGAUUGGAGGAGAUGGGGAGGCUGGUGUUUUAUGAUUGGAGGAGAUUGUGAGGCUGGUGUUUAUGAUUGGAGGAGAUGGUGAGGCUGGUGUUUUCUGAUUGGAGGAGAUGGUGAGGUUGGUGAUUGGAAAAGAUGGGGAGGCUGGUGAUUGGAGGAGAUAGGGAGGCUGGUGAUUGGAGGAGAUAGGGAGGCUGGUGAUUGGAGGAGAUGGGGAGGUUGGUGAUUGGAGGAGAUGGGGAGGUUGGUGAUUGGAGGAGAUGGGGAGGCCGGUGUUCAUUUUCAGAUCUGGACACAC